GAUGAACGCUAGCGGAACGCCUAACACAUGCAAGUCGAACGAGAAACUUCUUCGGAAGUGGACAGUGGCAAACGGGCGAGUAACGCGUGUCUAACUUGCCCCGGAGUGGUUGACAACUAUGGAGACAUAGCUAAUCAACCAUACGUCCCUAUGAAUGAAAAUAGUAGGGAGAAAGAUUUAUCGCUCUGGGAGAGGGAUGCGUCCUAUCAGUUAGUUGGUGAGGUAAAGGCUCACCAAGACUAUGACGGGUAGCCGGUCUGAGAGGAUGUCCGGCCGCAAUGGAACUGAGACACGGUCCAUACUCCUACGGGAGGCAGCAGUGGGGAAUAUUGCACAAUGGGCGAAAGCCUGAUGCAGCGAUUCCGCGUGGAGGAUGAAGCCUUAAGGGGUGUAAACUCCUUUUCUGGAGGAAGACGAAUGACGGUACUCCAGGAAUAAGGGACGGCUAACUACG
rnacentral:rRNA from 1 species